GGACUAUCAUCGUAUACACUCUCCAGCUGACUGGAAUGCAUUGGUUCGUAGACACUUUGCAGGUCGUACUUGAAGGGAUAUGGAAACAAGGUUUUAUGGCACUUGAUGUUGAUGGUGCGACCAACAUUGGAUCCAUUGAGCUAUUCAUCGAACCUAGGAGCAAGUGUAUGAUCCACAAGGUCAUGGCGUAAAGCUUGAGAAAGGAAAGGAGGUAGGUGUAUUCAACAUGGGAUCAACUGUGGCGGUUCAAACAGUUCCUCAGAUUACAGAU